GAUGAACGCUGGCGGCGUGCUUAACACAUGCAAGUCGAACGGAAAGGCUCCUGCUUUCAGGGGUACUCGCUUGGCGAACGGGUGAGUAACACGUGGGUGAUCUGCCCUGCACUUCGGGAUAAGCCUGGGAAACUGGGUCUCAUACCGCAUAGUACUGUGGUUUGCAUUCCAUUGUGUAAAGUUUUUCGGUGUGGGAUGAGCUCGCGGCCUAUCAGCUUGUUGGUUGGGUAAUGGCCUACCAAGGCGUCGACGGGUAGCCGGCCUGAGAGGGUGUACGGCCACAUUGGGACUGAGAUACGGCCCAGACUCCUACGGGAGGCAGCAGUGGGGAAUAUUGCACAAUGGGCGCAAGCCUGAUGCAGCGACGCCGCGUGGGGGAUGACGGCCUUCGGGUUGUAAACUCCUUUCGCUAGGGACGAAGCGCAAGUGACGGUACCUGGAGAAGAAGCACCGGCUAACUACGUG
rnacentral:rRNA from 1 species